rnacentral:rRNA from 1 species
UGGGGGAUAUUGCACAAUGGGCGAAAGCCUGAUGCAGCGACGCCGCGUGGGGGAUGAAGGCCUUCGGGUUGUAAACUUCUUUUGCUCUGAACAAGGCGCACCAUGGGGUGUGUUGAGUGUAGGGGUUGAUUAGCGCCGGCUAACUACGUGCCAGCAGCCGCGGUAAUACGUAGGGCGCGAGCGUUGUCCGGAAUUAUUGGGCGUAAAGGGCUUGUAGGUGGCUGGUUGCGUCUGUCGUGAAAGCUCAUGGCUUAACUGUGGGUUUGCGGUGGGUACGGGCUGGCUUGAGUGCAGUAGGGGAGGCUGGAAUUCCUGGUGUAGCGGUGGAAUGCGCAGAUAUCAGGAGGAAUACCGGUGGCGAAGGCGGGUCUCUGGGCUGUUACUGACACUGAGGAGCGAAAGCAUGGGGAGCGACCAGG